GAUCAUGGCUCAGAACGAACGCUGGCGGCGUGGAUAAGACAUGCAAGUCGAACGAGGAGAAUUGCUAGCUUGCUAAUAAUUCUCUAGUGGCGCACGGGUGAGUAACACGUGAGUAACCUGCCCCCGAGAGCGGGAUAGCCCUGGGAAACUGGGAUUAAUACCGCAUAGUAUCGAAAGAUUAAAGCAGCAAUGCGCUUGGGGAUGGGCUCGCGGCCUAUUAGUUAGUUGGUGAGGUAACGG
rnacentral:rRNA from 1 species